rnacentral:rRNA from 1 species
GACGAACGCUGGCGGCAUGCCUAAUACAUGCAAGUCGAACGAACUCUGGUAAUGAUUGGUGCUUGCAUCAUGAAUUACAUUUGAGUGAGUGGCGAACUGGUGAGUAACACGUGGGAAACCUGCCCAGAAGCGGGGGAUAACACCUGGAAACAGAUGCUAAUACCGCAUAACAACUUGGACCGCAUGGUCCGAGUUUGAAAGAUGGCUUCGGCUAUCACUUUUGGAUGGUCCCGCGGCGUAUUAGCUAGAUGGUGAGGUAACGGCUCACCAUGGCAAUGAUACGUAGCCGACCUGAGAGGGUAAUCGGCCACAUUGGGACUGAGACACGGCCCAAACUCCUACGGGAGGCAGCAGUAGGGAAUCUUCCACAAUGGACGAAAGUCUGAUGGAGCAACGCCGCGUGAGUGAAGAAGGGUUUCGGCUCGCAAAACUCUGUUGUUAAAGAAGAACAUAUCUGAGAGUAACUGUUCAGGUAUUGACGGUAUUUAACCAGAAAGCCACGGCUAACUACGUGCCAGCAGCCGCCGUAA